GGAGAAGCCUGGAGGGAGCAGGAGCUGUGAUUUGCACCUCAGGAAAAGCCAGGUGCAUGCUGGUGUAGGCUGCCUGUGGAGAGAUGCAGAGACAUUCAACUGUUAUUUGUUAUUCUCCUGAAGCACAGCGAAGCAGCCCCGGUGAGGAGUGAUCCCAGGCUGUGGCAUGUUCCAGCAGACGUGGUGGAAUGUGACAGCAAGGAACACACGCUGCCUGAGCCUCCCUGGGGAGAUGGGAGCAACAAUCAUGCUCGCUUGGUGUCCUUGCUGCCUGCAGUCACCCUGCACAGGAGGAGCCCGGUGGUCACUCUUGUCCCCGCAGCAGCAGACGUCGCCCAUCAAUGCUGCUGCCAGGUCUCUGGUAAUGGAAGGUUCAGCUCCCUGGGACUGGCGGAGUCACGGCAUCGGGACUGGGCUUUUCUCAGCCUCGCUUCAAGAAAUGUAAUUGAAACACGCAAGAACUUCUUUUUGGAGGAGAAACAUGCACUACAUCCAAAAACACUGGAUUUCAGCCCUCUCUUGAUGUUUCCAUGGCCUCAGUUAGUGGGAUGAAGCCUUUCUUCAUGGCAGAAUGACACAAGACAGAUUUGCAUCUUUAAAGAUCCUUCCUGAUUUUGCAUAUAAACAAAACCUGACUUAAACGGUUCAGCUGGUGAUUGUGAGGGUUUAUCAGGUCUCCAUUCACCACCAACCUCAGAGGGAACUCUGCUGUGGGCUGCUAGAACACAGGUAACUUCUUGUACCUAUUUGUCUGAAGCUUAGGAAGGGGGCAGAGGCUGGGUGACCAAAUGACCAAAAAAUGUCAUGAAGUCUUUUUGUAUUUUAAAGCUGAAGUACUUUUCAGUCUUACCUUUUUUUCUUGAAGUUAUCCUGCAUGUGAUGGAAGUGAUGAGCUUUUUUACUUUCCACAUGUCGCACGGAUCAGGGAAGUGAUGCUGUUUCAAAGGGACGACCUGCAGCACAUAGGACCCAGCCAGCCUGACUCCAUCCUGCCCAGGACAGCCAGGUUUUGACUGCCAGUGUUCUGAAGCUCUGUGGAUUUGCCAACUCAUACACACAGCUCUGAAAAUGCAUGCACGUCUCCUAUGGCCUAUGCAGCACCAGACUGGUUGCAUGGAGGGUGAUAAUAUUGACAGUGCAGAAAAGGUCUGUCCUGCAUCUUAAGACACUGCCUGUGAUACUUCAGCAGAGCUCUUCUCCCACCUCCACGACCUGUUUGUCUCCAAAUUGCCAAGGGAGAGAAAGGCAGCAGGCAGCCAGAUGAGUCUGGCUGGUCUCCAGUGCCUGUCAGUAUCAUCCAUGGAUAGUCUUCCAUGGAGAUGUUUGUCCCUGUAUUCUGUUCACUGGGCUUCUCUGUCUGGUUGACCAUGUUUCUUCUUGAAGUGGGCCCUUUCUGCCCUGCCUUUGCCAAUGUGCUUUGUUGAGUAAGUGGAAGACAUUGUAAUGAGGGCUUACUGACCCCAGCCUCGAGAUAUAUGGGAAGGAAAAGGUUUUUUUGUGAUAUUUUCAGCUUAACUUUCCAAUUCCAAAGGCCUGGAAAAGACUGGUUGGCAGCCAAGCCUUGAGUGUAUAUUAAUCUGCCUGUGUCCUCCCUGUAGGUUUGCCUUUCCAUGGAACAAACCACAAGGGCACUGUUAAUGAUGCUGCAGAGAUAAGAGAAGUUCUCAACCCAGAGGGAGAUCCCAGGAGCCUUGAAACAGUUUGGACCCUUGUCUAAAGCAUGAGGAAAGCCUGUUUCUCUAAAGCAGAUAUGGCUGUGUCCUGAAAUCCAAGGACCAGAAAAAUGCUUGCAUUCUAUUUAAUCUCUAAGAUAUCACAGAUUCAGAAAAAUACUUAGAGGUCUUCCAAGAAAGCAUUUGUAGAUUUGAGUGUGCAAGCCUGUGAAAGUGUUCAGUUGUCUAGCAAUGGUAGCAUAUGCAGGUAAAGGAUCUUUAUCUGCUUUAAUAGUUGUUACUCCUCCACUGAAGCUGGAAGAAAAGGGAAUGAGUGCCAUGAUCCUCUCAGCUAUGCAAUAAGUACCUGAUGACACAAAGGCUCUGGGGUGACAUCCUGCACCCUGCAGCAGGUGUUAAGUGCAGAACUACUGAUGGUAAAAUGCUUUGGAUGCUGCUUAUUGUGGAGGCAGAACCCAACCCAAAAUCAUGUAACUGGCCUGCUGAGACAGUUUUGUCUCAAAGAGAAGCAUCCAGGUCUGGAUGACACAGUUGCCUCGCAGGAUGAUUUCAUCCUUCCACCUUUUCUCAUCUCUUUGCUUUUGCUGUUGGAUAAGCUUGAGAGGUUGUAAGCUGGGUACAAGGAACUCAUUUAUGUGUCCAGGCUUGGCUUCUGCCUUGUGCUUCUGUCAGUAUCUUCUCCAUGCCUGAAUGCUGGUAUCAGAAUCACUACUGCUAAUACAACAAAUGAGGGAGUUAAUUGUGGAUUUGAUGCCAUCAUCUUUCAGAGUAGACUUCAUCUGUGUUUGUGGCUUGGCAUCACCCUUGUCUUGCACCCCUUGUUCUCUGAGGGGCUCCUUGGAUCUCUGCUUCUCUGCUGGUUUUGGGUGCUGGCUCUUUAGCCAACACUUAUGAAGACGUGCUUGUUGUUGCAGGUGCUGUGGUUUGUCAAUGGUUUACAGGCUGGUUCAGCCCGGUUCUGUGACU